rnacentral:lncRNA from 1 species
CGGGGACAGGCUCACCCUGAGGGGGAGAUUCGAGCAGGGGCAGCCCUGAAGGGAUGGGGAAUGGGGACAGGCUCACCCUGAAGGGGAGGGAGGGGGCACAGGCUCACCCUGAAGGGGAGGGAGAAGGGACAGGCUCACCCUGACGGGGAGAUACACGCAGGGCCCAGACCUGAGGGCAGCAGGUGAGGGGCCGGGAAGGGAGCUAGCGACAGGAGAAGGCGAAGACCUGCGUCCUGUUUCUGCAGUGGGUUGAUCAGUGCCCCGCCCCCCGGGAACUGGAGCUGUCUGUCACUAGCCUGCACGUCUCAGACCCUGAAAGCUCCAUUCCCAGUCCUUAGUGAUCCUCUCCUGGUGAUGCCAGGUCCGUUACCGGGCACCUUCCUGGGGUGACAGUACGCUGCUCCAGCCCCUCCAGGGUUUCAGACACAGUCAGAAGUCAAGAAGCAGCGAAAUUCUGCAGCAGUAGGGGGAGAAUUGUUUUUUUCUAAGGGAAAUGAAUAUAGUUUUCAGGACGUAGACAAGGGUCUUUGGCUGGCGUUGGUAACUCGCGUGGUUCGUUCCCCGGCCCUCUCCCUUGUCUGUGUACUUUCCUUCAGGAAGCAGCGUUGCCAAGCCCUGUGCUGGGGAGCUGAUCCCGACCCUGAAGGAGCCCAGACCACGGAGAGAGAGAAGUAGCCACGAACGGAACUGAAGACAGUUCAUAACGCUGUGAUAGAGGACGACGGACACCUUGCUGUGGGGCCACUUAAAAUGUAUUCUUUAAAAACAUCAGUCAACAUUUCACUUUGCUCAAAACCCUGUAAAGGAUUUCCGUUUCACUCAGUGAGAGCCAAAGUUCUUCCAAUGGAAAAGUCCCUACACGGUCUGGCUUCCUCCUCCUCCUGUUAUGGAACCGAAGUGAGUUCUCUCCUGGACUUUAACGCCAGCAGCCACACCAUUGUGGUGUUAAGACCAUGGCGGGACAUUGCCAAUGAAACGUCCGCAAAACGGGGAGGAAGAUCAUGGAGGAGGCAGGGGCAGGGAGAAAAGUGGGAAGGCCAUUUAGCAGAAAAGCAAAAAUAUCUGUCAUUGAGAAUUUUGGAAUGUUUGUGCUGGAGGCAGAGAGGAGGAAAAUGUAAAAAGUCUGAAAAAAAAAAAAAGCCGCCGUCUGUCUGGGGCACCAGCACGCAGUCAUUCGAGACCACAGAGUGACACCUAGUGGACACCUGGGAAGAUGCUUCCUGCAGGGGAGCUCGGCGCCGCCCGCCCAAGUGGUUUCGUAGAGCUGGGGAUGCCGAGCGCAGGAAGGACCCGGGCCCGGUGCUCGCCGCUCGGAGCUGCCCCCGAUCCGCCCUGGGAGGACGCCCGGGGAGAGUGCUGUGCCGGGACUCCGGAGUCCAGUCCUGGCCCAGAUGCCAGCUGGGAGACCUCGCACGGGAAACUGUGUCUGUCGGGAAGCGGGGAGAGGCUCUUCCCUCGGCUCCACCGCUCUGGAUUCCCCCCUCUGCCAGCCCCCAGCCCCGCUCCGCACAGCCCCUGCCUCCGCUGUUCUGCCCGCCCUCCUUGGGGGACUGCGGUGAGCUCGGAGGACGGGCAAACUCCUGCGAGCAGAAGGCCCACCUUUCAAGUUUUCAUAUUACCUCCAACGCAAGGCUGAAUCCGAUCACCGAUGCCAAGCUACGGGCACAGUGCUUUGCUGGCGGUGAGCGCUCUAAGAAAGCUCUGUCGGAGGAAAGAGUCCUGGAUCUUGAGUCAGGAUUCCAGCCCCGUGUAAACACAAGCACCUCGGGAACUGGAGCCGAGGAGUUCUUCUAGAAAGUUCUAGACUGUUCCUUAGUCAAAAUUAGCCCCUUUACAAUUUUACCCCAUUUGUCCUUGUUCAGCCUUCUGAAGCGGUUCAGAAUAACUAUUUUUAUGCGACGCCUGCAAACACCUUUUAUGCUCCCUGUAAAUAUUGCCAUUUUGGGCUAAAUGUGCUCAACUUCAUUCUUUACAGCAGUGGUUCUCAAACAAGGAUUUUGCCCCUGAGGGCACAUGUGGCAGUGUCUGGAGACCUUUCGGUUGUCACACCUUGAGGAGGGAGGCUGCUACUGACAUCUAGUGGGCAGAGGCCUAGAUGCAGCCAACCUCCUGCAGGGCUCCCGGCGGGCCCCACCCCCACCACGCACACAAAGAACUAUCCAUUGCAGAAUGCACGCGUGCUGAGGUCGUGGAGCCCUGCUUGAGACAGCUGGGACUUCUUAGCAUCCCCGUCCAUUCUGCGGACGCUCUUCAUUCAUCGGCGACGUUUGUACCGCGAUGUGGUACAGAACUCCAGACCAGCUCUGACCAGCCUGGGCAUCUUGGGGUGUACACACGGGACGUCCCUCAGUGGAGCGUAGAGAUUAGAUCAACCCUCCAAGCAAUCUUUUGCUCAUAUGGCGAGUCUGUCCUUACUGUUUACGAACAAAGAACUUAUGGACAAACGUGCGUACAAUUAAAUAAAAGAUAUACAUUACCUGAAAAAA